rnacentral:rRNA from 1 species
UACAGAGGGUGCAAGCGUUAAUCGGAUUUACUGGGCGUAAAGGGCGCGUAGGCGGUUGAGUGAGUGUGAUGUGAAAGCCCCGGGCUUAACCUGGGAAGAGCAUCGCAAACGACUUAACUGGAGUAGGUGAGAGGGUGGCGGAAUUUCCGGUGUAGCGGUGAAAUGCGUAGAGAUCGGAAGGAACGUCAAUGGCGAAGGCAGCCACCUGGCACCAUACUGACGCUGAGGCGCGAGAGCGUGGGGAGCGAAC